UGUGUAUCCUGUAAUGCAGUGGUUUUCAACCAGUGUGCCGUGGCACCCUGGGGUGCCUUGAAUGAUGGUCAAGGGUGCCGCGGGCAACACUGGCCUCUGUUCCUCUUUCCUCCCCUCUGAUGCCCUCUCUGUCUCCCAAAGGCUUGCACAGCUGUUUGUUGCAGCAGCCCUGGCUACAAGCUCCCCAGGCAAAGGGUGCCUCUGGGGCUGGCCAGGAGGUGCUUCCCAGGCCCCUGUCUGGCAGUGUGAGGAGGCACCUCUCUUUGGGGCAGUGGGGGGGGGCAGCUUCGACACCAGGGGCAGCAGCAGCGGCUGCCCAGAGGACUCUCAAGGAGAGGGGAGAAAAUAGGAGGCUGAGGGAACACUCCACAUGGGAGGGUGUUCAGAAAGUGUUGAGGGGCUGCUGGCUCUGUAAGCAAGGGGUAACAUAACUGAGCUCCUGAGCCCCACAGGGGUGCCACAGAAAGAGUAUAGUUGGUCAAGGGAGCCAUGGACUCAAAAAGGUUGAAAACCUCUGCUGUAAUGCAUUACUGAGAGUUCAUACCUCAUGUUACGUUUAGUUCAUGUUACGUUCUUUCAGGUUACGUCCCACGGUGUCCCGGAAGUACCGGAAAGGGUUACUUCUGGGUUUCGCUGCUUGCGCAUGCACAGAAGCGCAAAAUGACAUCACGUGCAUGCACAGAAGUGGCGAAUCGCAACCCGCGCGUGCACAGAUGCGCCACUGCAGGUUGCGCUCUUUUCAUGUUGCGAACGGGCCUCCGGAACAGAUCCCAUUCGCAACCAGAGGUACCACUGUAUUGUUGUAAGAUAGGGCUGGACAAGAGUGGGUUAAUGAAGCUGGAGACUGCCUUAACAGCCCUAGGGAAGUAACCAAGGGGGAAAUGUGUUUUGAGUGUGCUUUAAAGGUCUAGUGCAGACACAAUCUUAUUCUCUGCUGUCUUGACAGGCAGGACUAGAUCUAAUAGCUGCAAGUUACAGUGGAGUAAAAUCAUAGACUCAUAGAGUUGGAAGGGACCACGAGGGUCAUCUAGUCCAACCCCCUUCAAUGCAGGAAUGUUUUGCCCAUCGUGGGGCUUGAAGCCAUCGCCCUGAGAUUAAAAGUCUCAUGCUCUACUGAAGUGACUGAGCUGUGAAUAGUAGGAGAAAGAUCCUGACAUCAAACAGACACACACUAAGUUCUGGACCUUUUCAUUUUACUUCCCAUUAGCGCUUGUAGGUUGAAGGUUUGUCGUUGGAUUUUGUUUUCUCUCCGCAGGUUAUGCCUUUAAGCAUGACACCAGGCAUCAGGGAUAAGCGGCACUGCUGGCGAAAAAGGAUGGUGCUGCCACCAUUUUUUCAGAGAUAACACUUGUUCAUUCCAGCUGAUUGCAGAUGGGCCAGAGGACAACACUGGUUCAAAGCUAGAUAAGGUUUUGAGAUACCCAUUGUAAUAGGUGCCGUAUAAAUACCUAAGGCAGAUAGGAAGGCAGGUAAGUUCCUAUGCCGCAAUCUCGCAGUCCCCACCCUCCCCCUUGGGCUCUCUGGCUCCAGGAGCAUUAAGGUGCUGCUCCCUGUAUCUUCCGGGAGCAUUGUCACAUCUCUUACCUGAACAAUCACAAGGUAUCUAGUGUGCAAAUGCUACACCUGUAGUUUAAACAGCGAAACUAUGAGACAGUAAAGGUAUAUUGGCUGCUAGUUGAUUUUAAGACAACUGAUAGUAAACAUAUCUCCCCUCUGUCUCCUUUUGCCUCUCCAGCACCCCUGGGUGUCAGGGGAUGUGUGGGGGAAAGUGGUCCAAAUACAGAAAAUAACAGUUCCCAGAGGGGCAGCCAACACACACAAAAAUUCUUGUGGCAUCUUAAAUGUAUUAUGGCACAAACCUAGGGCAUACUAAAUCCAGGGUGGCACAAGAUGCUUGUUGUUCAUGCAGAAAGCAAAAUUCAACUAAGGAAAUAGCACAACCAUACCCUGCAAAUCUAAUAGAUCAUGACAACAAGCCCUAAACAACCUGCUACAAGAUUGUGGAAUGGGAAAUUUAGUGCAAUGGAAAGGAAUACACUACGGUGCAGUACAGAGGUAGCCGAUGUUGUGCCAUUCAGAGGUUGCUGAACUACAACUCCCAUCAUUCCUGACCAUUGGCCAUGCUCACUGGGAUUGAUGGAAAUUGUAAUCCAGCAACAUCCGAAGGGCAUCACAUUUGCUUCUGCUGGAGUAGUGAAGAGAGUUAGAAUUAGAUGGUGGUAGACUCAGUCUCAGGGAGGCGGGUGGCGCUGUGGUCUAAACCACAGAGCCUAGGGCUUGCCGAUCAGAAGGUUGGUGGUUCGAAUCCCCACGAUGGGGUGAGCUCCCGUUGUUCUGUCGCAUCUCCUGCCCACCUAGGAGUUCGAAAGCAUGUCAAAGUGCAAGUAGAUAAAUAGGUACCACUCUGGUGGGAAGGUAAACGGCGUUUCCGUGCGCUGCUCUGGUUCACCAGAAACGGCUUAGUCAUGCUGGUCACACGACCUGGAAGCUGUCUGCGGACAAACGCCGGCUCCCUUGGCCUAUAGAGCGAGAUGAGCGUGCAACCCCAGAGUCAUCCGCAACUGGACCUAAUGGUCAGGGGUACCUUUACCUUUACCUUUUAGACUCAGUUCCUGUUUAGCUCAGCUAUGAUGUUCACGCGAUGGUCUUCACUCUUGAACAUGCAAAGCUGUCUUAAACUGCAUAUGUUCACUGAUGACUCACCUCACCCAGUGGCUUUGCAGUGCCUCAGACCUUCUACUGAUACCCUUUGAAUCUGAGGUGCCAGGCACAAGAUAUUUUCAGAGACAUUGUGGGUUUACGGCAUGUAAGUUGACUCACUGAGCAACUUGGAAUAAUUGGGUGAACAGGAUUCAGUGCAGUAGAUAUAGGAAGACUUGCAGCAUAAAUAAUAAAGAGGUGUGAUCACAGCAGGAAGUUCCUUCACAACAGAACUUACUGGAAAUUGCUUCCUGGCAGAUGUGGGAUUUAAGUCCCGGUGUCAUGAGCAACAGCUGAGCUAUACCUUGUGCAGAAUAAGAAUAAGGCUGCUGGACUGCAACACUUCAGACUUGAGGGGGUGGUAAAGACUGAGCAUAAGGCUGCUCACCUUAAACUUAAAUCAGCUAGGGUUGCCAUAUGUCCUCUUUUCCCUGGACACAUCCUCUUUUUCAGAAUUAAAAUAUCCGUCCAGGCAGAUUUUUAAAAUUUGGCAAAAUGUCCAGGGAUUUUUGUUUGUUUUAUUACAGUAAUAUUACACAGUAAACAUACUAUAUAAAUCCCUUUUCUUGUGGCUGAACUAAAAGGAUGCUGGCUCAGCUACAAGAUCUUGCAGAAGGAGUUAACUUCCCCCUGCCCUUAAUGAGAGUCCAUAUGUACAUGUUAAACAGUUUAAAUAAUUGUUCUGUGCACACUUAAGUUCACAAAGAUGUGAUCAUGAGCCCAAAUACUUUCAUGUGGCAAGUGAGGGAGCAAUAUGUAUUAUUAUUAUUAUUAUUAUUAUUAUUAUUAUUAUUAUUUGUUAUUGUUGAAAGUUAAGAACAUUGCUACUAGCAAUAUAUCCAUAGCCUACAUAUAGUAAAAGGUAAAGGUAAAGGGACCCCUGACCAUUAGGUCCAGUCAUGACCAACUCUGGGGUUGCGGCGCUCAUCUCGCUUUAUUGGCUGAGGCAGCCGGCGUACAGCUUCUGGGUCAUGUGGCCAGCAUGACUAAGCCGCUUCUGGCGAACCAGAGCAGCGCACGGAAACGCCGUUACCUUCCUGCCGGAGUCGUACCUAUUUAUCUACUUGCACUUUGACGUGCUUUCGAACUGCUAGGUUGGCAGGAGCAGGGACCCCGUCGCAUGGAUUCGAACCACCAACCUUCUGAUUGGCAAGUCCUAGGCUCUGUGGUUGAGAGUCACCAUAGCGACGCAUAGUUAGAAGUAGAAGUCGGCAAAUGAAUUCCUCUUUUUUGUUCUUCAAAAUGUGGUGACCCUAAAUCAGGCCCCCACUCUAAAGUGGGGCACAUCACUUUAGCUGGGCAAUUCGCCACUCCUCCUGGCUUUCCUAAACUAUACCACCCAUUUGUUGUCUGUUUAAAUAUCCCACCUCUUACUUUGGGUAUUGUCAGGGACUAGUCUGAGGAGGAAUGGUGGAGUCUCUCCCCCCCCCCCCCGCCCGGCACUUCCCAGAGAAAAGGGAGCCAGUAUAGAUUUACAACAGUGGUUUGCAGAAGGUCAUAGUCAGAGUCUGCAGAGGGGAGAAGAUGGGAAAUAUUGGGAGAGGAGCAGCAGGGAGAAGAAGCCCGGGGGGGGGGGGCAACUGCUGACAGAUUCAGUGUCUUUAGAAAGCAUACCUGGCACACACCCCCUCGCAGGACCUGGCAGGCAUUGGGAAUGGAAGAACAGAAAGCUCAGAGGCAAGGAAGUACAGAUCAGCCCCUAUUCCAUCUUCAUGUAUGCGACAACGGCCACGAGAGUUCUGGUAGCACAAGGAUGGAAGACUGAAGAAACCCCAACUGAAGAAUCAUGGCAAGAAAACUUGACGGACUAUGCAGAACUGGCAAAACUGACAUAUAAGCUACGGGACAAGGAUAACUGUGACUUUCAGGAUGAAUGGGAACCCUUUACAAAGUAUCUGAAGACACAUCAAAGUGAACUGGACUCCUUGGCAGGUUUUGAAUAAACAUUCACAAACUUUUUAUUGAUAAUAAUCAGCUAAAUAGUUUGAGGAACUAUACGACUUUGUAACAUGCAGAAAACAGCAGUCUCAGAGAAACCAAAGACUGGAACUGAGGGAAGUCGGGG